UCACCCCCCCGUGACGGACUCCUCACCCCCCCAGGCCCGGGUCCGCGGCCGCCGCUCAGGAAUCAGAUGUUGCGCGCGGGAGAAGCAGAAAAGUGCAGCUCUGUGGUGAUCAGGAUUCACCUCAGGAGAGCAGAGGACAUCAGAAAUCACAGCAGCCUGGUGGAGGCCUGCAGAUUGCUGGUACAGCGUGUCCUGACCCUGAAAACUCUGCAACAGGGAACCCUGAGAGAGCACGACUGGACCUCUGAUUCCUGUUUCCAUUUGAAGUCGCCCAAAAAGAAACCGCCCGGGUCUGCUGGGAGUCUUCUCUCCACGUACGGAUUCUGUGUGUUUUCCUGUAUUGAUUGUUAUUUGAUGGUGUCACUGAAUAUUUUAAAGCACUCUGUCCUGUCAGUGUUCGCUGAAGCAGCAUAUGAACAACUGAAUAAUGCAGGCAUGCAGUUAGAAAAGCCAUGAAACGUGUUCGGUCAGGUGACGUUUCCGAGAGGUGACCGGAGCCAGAGAACCAAAGAAAACACUAAACACACACAUACGUAUAUUGACUUCUGAAUUUUAUAUUCUGUUAGUGUCUAAUAAUGCAGCACAAUCUUAUUUAGUCAAUAUUUAACAUAAUAUCCCCCAUCGCAUUGUUUCGUAUGUCUUCGUAUUAUGAGCCUGUGUGCUGCAUGUUUUAAAUAGUGCCUGACGAUGAUCGAUUGAUUUUUUUUUACUAACAUUAAUAUUUUCUUUUUAUCAUUGCUCUGCAUGCUUAUAAAUGAUCUCAGUAACUUUGUAAUUUAAUCUCAUAUUCUGUUUUAAUGGUGACUCUGUAACGUCUGUCCAGGGACGACAACAUUGUGGAGCAUUUACAGCAACGUUUAUUAAUGUGCACUGUCCCAGUUAAAUAAACCAACGAAUAAAUAAAAAUAUACUCAUUUAAAUUCAAAAUAUAAAUAAUAACUGCUGCACCCAGAGCUUGAAGUGGGAAAAAUACAUCAGCAAAUGAUU